rnacentral:rRNA from 1 species
UGAGGGAUAUUGGUCAAUGGGGGAAACCCUGAACCAGCGACGCCGCGUGGGUGAAGAAGGCCUUCGGGUCGUAAAGCCCUUUUCCCGCUGACGAGGAAGGACGGUAGGCGGGGAAGAAGUCUCGGCUAACUACGUGCCAGCAGCCGCGGUAAAACGUAGGAGGCAAGCGUUAUCCGGAGUUACUGGGCGUAAAGCGCGCGCAGGCGGCGAAGCAAGUGAGGUGUGAAAUAUCCCGGCUAAACCGGGAGG